UACGGGGGGAGCAAGCGUUGUUCGGAUUUACUGGGCGUAAAGGGCGCGUAGGCGGUCGUGACAAGUCACUUGUGAAAUCUCCGGGCUUAACUCGGAACGGUCAAGUGAUACUGUCGGACUAGAGUACAGAAGGGGCAACUGGAAUUCUCGGUGUAGCGGUGAAAUGCGUAGAUAUCGAGAGGAACACCUGCGGCGAAGGCGGCUCACUGGGGCUUUUCUGACGCUGAGGAACGAAAGCCAGGGUA
rnacentral:rRNA from 1 species